AGAGUUUGAUCAUGGCUCAGGACGAACGCUGGCGGCGUGCCUAAUACAUGCAAGUUGUACGCUUGAUUUUCACCGAAGCUUGCUUCACCGAAAAUCAAGAGUAGCGAACGGGUGAGUAACGCGUGGGUAACCUACCUAUCAGCGGGGGAUAACUAUUGGAAACGAUAGCUAAUACCGCAUAACAAUGUUGGAUGCAUAUUCGACAUUUGAAAGUACCAAUUGGUACACUGAGAGAUGGACCCGCGUUGUAUUAGCUAGUUGGUAGUGUAAUGGACUACCAAGGCGAUGAUACAUAGCCGACCUGAGAGGGUGAUCGGCCACAUUGGGACUGAGACACGGCCCAAACUCCUACGGGAGGCAGCAGUAGGGAAUCUUCGGCAAUGGACGAAAGUCUGACCGAGCAACGCCGCGUGAGUGAAGAAGGUUUUCGGAUCGUAAAACUCUGUUGUUAGAGAAGAACGUUGCAUAGAGUGGAAAAUAAUGCAAGUGACGGUAUCUAACCAGAAAGGGACGGCUAACUACGUGCCAGCAGCCGCGGUAAUACGUAGGUCCCGAGCGUUGUCCGGAUUUAUUGGGCGUAAAGCGAGCGCAGGUGGUUUAAUAAGUCUGAUGUAAAAGGCAGUGGCUCAACCAUUGUGUGCAUUGGAAACUGUUAGACUUGAGUGCAGUAGAGGAGAGUGGAAUUCCAUGUGUAGCGGUGAAAUGCGUAGAUAUAUGGAGGGACACCGGUGGCGAAAGCGGCUCUCUGGGCUGUCACUGACACUGAGGCUCGAAAGCGUGGGUAGCAAACAGGAUUAGAUACCCUGGUAGUCCACGCCGUAAACGAUGAGUGCUAGUUGUUUGGGGCUAUCCAGCCCUAAGUGCACGCAGCA
rnacentral:rRNA from 1 species